rnacentral:rRNA from 1 species
AACGAACGCUGGCGGCAGGCCUAACACAUGCAAGUCGAGCGCCCCGCAAGGGGAGCGGCGGACGGGUGAGUAACACGUGGGAAUUUUCCUCAAGGUACGGAACAACUCAGGGAAACUUGGGCUAAUACCGUAUGAUGCAGAGAUGCCAAAGAUUUAUCGCCUUGGGAUAAGCCCGCGUCAGAUUAGGUAGUUGGUGGGGUAAUGGCCUACCAAGCCUGUGAUCUGUAGCUGGUCUGAGAGGACGAUCAGCCACAUUGGGACUGAGACACGGCCCAAACUCCUACGGGAGGCAGCAGUGGGGAAUCUUGCGCAAUGGACGAAAGUCUGACGCAGCCAUGCCGCGUGAAUGAUGAAGGUCUUAGGAUUGUAAAGUUCUUUAGCCUGU